rnacentral:rRNA from 1 species
UACGAAGGGGGCUAGCGUUGCUCGGAUUGACUGGGCGUAAAGGGCGCGUAGGCGGUUCGUACAGUCAGACGUGAAAUUCCUGGGCUCAACCUGGGGGCUGCGUUUGAUACGUGCGGACUUGAGUGCGGAAGAGGGUCGUGGAAUUCCCAGUGUAGAGGUGAAAUUCGUAGAUAUUGGGAAGAACACCGGUGGCGAAGGCGGCGACCUGGUCCGAUACCGACGCUGAGGCGCGAAAGCGUGGGGAGCAAACAGG